GACGAGCGCUGGCGGCGUGGAUUAGGCAUGCAAGUCGAACGGUAUCAUCCUUUCGGGGGUGAGAGAGUGGCGAACUGGUGAGUAACACGUAGGUUAUCUACCCUCAAGACGGGGACAACCCAGGGAAACUUGGGCUAAUACCGGAUGUGAGCAACUUUUAGUUGUUUGAAAGGUGGCGUAAGCUGUCGCUUGGGGAUGAGCCUGCGUCCUAUUAGUUAGUUGGUGAGGUAACGGCUCACCUAGGCAAUGAUAGGUAGGCGGCCUUAACGGGUGGUCGCCCACACUGGGAUUGAGAUACGGCCCAGACUCCUACGGGAGGCAGCAGUCGAGAAUAGUCUACAAUGGUCGGAAGACUGAUAGUGCGACGCCGCGUGAACGAUGAAUCCCUUCGGGGUGUAAAGUUCUUUUAUAUGUGAGCAGUGCUUCUUAUAUUAACAGUAUGGGGAGAGAGAUAUUAGCAUAUGAAUAAGCAACGGCUAACUCCGUGCCAGCAGCCGCGGUAAAC
rnacentral:rRNA from 1 species